rnacentral:misc_RNA from 1 species
GGUUGUAUUGCUCAAAAUAACUAAUGAACCCAGGAGACAAUUUCCUUUAAGUUAAAUUUAUACUCCUGUAAUAUGAACUUUUAUUUUAUUUUAAAAGUGUGUUUUAUUUGUAAAUUGCUGUUUUCUGUUUUAUAGUGCAUUUAUUAUAUUUAUCAGCUCUAGCAUUAUGUGAGAAAUGUAAUAAUUAUUGUCCCGAAAAUAUUUUCUGCUAAUAUAGAUCAAAUUAUCAAAUACACGCUCUCGAGUGAUAUGUUGACUUGCCAAUUUAAAGUACUUAUUUGUUUUAUCAUUAUGUGAAUAUAUAAACUGUAAAUACAUGUAAAUGAAUGCACCGGUGUUUUGUUUCAUACAAAAAUUGUUCAUUCAGGGUUCUCCAUCUUUACAAUUUUGCAGUAGUGCACAAUGAAAGUCGUUUCAGUGCAUGAUCAUGCAUCCUUCUUGGCGAUCAAUGACAGACACUGUGAUAGACACAAAUGUCUAUAGCUACAUCAUUAUUACUUGAACACCAAUUUGAGUGGAAUUAAUAACUAAAUCAAUCUGCAGAAAUUAAACGUUCAAUGAAGUAAGAAUUGUCACAAAAAUUGUUGUAAGUAGGGCUUUUGUUCAGUAAUAGAACGUUCUUAAAACUUUGAAGUUGAAAGAAAAUGAAAAAAAAUUAGAAAUUGAAGAAGUUUUAAAUCACAAUAUUCCAUAUCUAUUUUCUCAAGAAUAAUUAUCCUCUUCAGUAUUUACUGAAGAAACCCAUAGCAAAAAAAAAAAUUUAGUGUGACAAGAAAUAUUCUUUGACAGAAAACAAGCUGUGGUUGUUGUUGAACAGAAAAAAACUAAUGGAGAACCUUGGCAUAAAUGUAAUAUGCGCAUUCCUUGAGAUCUUAGCAAGACUGGUUUUAUAUUACUUUCACUUUUCAAGUAACUCUCUAAAACUUCUUCUUUGAUAUUGGUGAGAUAAAUGUCUAUAUUCAAUAUGUGCAUUUUGUUUUUCACUUGUUUUCACUCUCUUAUUCAUGUGUAUUAAGAUAAAAAUAUAUAAUCUAAAG